CGAAAUCGUAGUUUAAGCAAAAUAUUAGCAUUGGAAGCUAAAGAUUAGGUAAAAUACUCCUACAUUUCGA
rnacentral:tRNA from 1 species